rnacentral:rRNA from 1 species
UACAUAGGGCGCAAGCGUUGUCCGGAAUUAUUGGGCGUAAAGAGCUCGUAGGCGGCUUGUCACGUCGGGUGUGAAAGCCCGGGGCUUAACCCCGGGUCUGCAUUCGAUACGGGCAGACUUGAGUUCGGUAGGGGAGACUGGAAUUCCUGGUGUAGCGGUGAAAUGCGCAGAUAUCAGGAGGAACACCGGUGGCGAAGGCGGGUCUCUGGGCCGAUACUGACGCUGAGGAGCGAAAGCGUGGGGAGCGAACAGG